UGACGAUGACGAUGAUGAUAAUUAUGAUGAUGCUGCUGAUGAGCAUGAUGAUGAUGAUGAUGUUGGACAGUGUUGAGUUGUGGCGCUACACUAAAAACGUUGUUGUGCACAUAAAUAUUUAGCUUGCAAGUGUCGCUGUCUGCGUAAUUAUGACAGUCACAGUUUGAACCAAUUUCUCUGCUCGAGUAGCCUUUGCGCAAUCAAAUCAUUUGAUACAACAGAAAAAAUGCUAAUUUAAUACAUUUAUACAUAAUAUGUAUUUAGUUAUGUAUGUGAAACACACAAAUGCACGAACCUCGCAUCAAAAAUGGGCAAUAGAACAACAGGACAAUAUGAAAUAGUUCAUGAGAAGGAGAGGAAUAAAGAGACGAAAUAGAAGUACAAAAAGAAGCAUUUUAGAGGAAUCAAGAUUUUAGAAUUUGCCACAAAAUAAAAGUGUAUACAGAGGCAACAACAUGGCAAAGGGUAUGCCAAAAGUCAAAUGCCCGCCCAAAAGGUAUUCAGUGCCCGUUUCUGCCUUUCUGAAUUACUCAACGUUUUAAGCCAGCGCACGUUCGAGUCACUUUUUACACUGCUACGAAAAGAUACAACAAAAAUAAAAAAAAAAAGAGGUGAAAAAAGCCACAAAAUGUCAAACAAAAGAACAAGUUCUCAAGCAAAUAAUAAGAAAUGUAUCUGUUAA